UGUCAUCAUCAUCAGCCUCGAUCGCCACACAUCUGAAAAAUGCACGGGAGGAGGCACAAUUGUUGUUUACAAAUGGCUGUCAGGAGACGUACUGAGGACCGGUUGUGGGGGUGCAAUAACUCACAUUGUUACAGUGUCCCAGAUAAUUGACAAGAAAACAACAAAUCUCAAGAAACAAUAAAUGUCCACGUAGACAAUUUUUUGUGUAUGUUUGUCCGAGGGAAAACACUAAAAUUUUGUCUGCAUUUGUUGGUGAUGUUUACCUGUAAGAUUUGUGUGUCGCUACUUCGAUUCCCGCCGAGCAAAAAGGUGCUAACAGGAGAAUCGUUGAUUGAUGUUCAAUCAAUAAUUCUGCUUAUAGGAACAAAAGGCCGCAAUUUACUGGGGCGGGUGGGGGGUGGGGGGGGAGAGUAAAGAAAUGUGAAAUCAUGUGCAAAAAUCAAUAAACUCAAUUCUACGAUAUUCAGAGUUUUGUUAUCACCUUUGCACCAACUCAAUAAAAUUGGAAUCUAAACCCUC